AUGGAGAAGGCCAUCCUGAACAGGCUGGAGUGGAACCUGACGGUGCCCACGCCCUACGUCUUUCUGGUGCGUUUUGCCAAGGCCGCGUCUUCCUCAGAUCAUAAGAACAACAAGGAGAUGGAGAACACCAUCUUCUUCUUCGCGGAGCUGGCGCUGCUGCAGUACGGGCUGUUGCAGUCCAAGCCCUCCAUGGUGGUUGCCGCUGCUGUCUACGCCGCCAGGCUCACCCUCAAGAAGACCCAUUUGUGGACCGACACUCUAAAGCACCACACUGACUUUAUUGAAGCACAGCUGAUGGACGCUGCCAAGAUCCUGGUGGACUCGCACUCCACCGCACUGGCAGCAAGCUGA
rnacentral:rRNA from 1 species